GAUGAACGCUGGCGGCGUGCCUAAUACAUGCAAGUCGAGCGAACAGACGAGGAGCUUGCUCCUCUGACGUUAGCGGCGGACGGGUGAGUAACACGUGGAUAACCUACCUAUAAGACUGGGAUAACUUCGGGAAACCGGAGCUAAUACCGGAUAAUAUAUUGAACCGCAUGGUUCAAUAGUGAAAGACGGUUUUGCUGUCACUUAUAGAUGGAUCCGCGCCGCAUUAGCUAGUUGGUAAGGUAACGGCUUACCAAGGCAACGAUGCGUAGCCGACCUGAGAGGGUGAUCGGCCACACUGGAACUGAGACACGGUCCAGACUCCUACGGGAGGCAGCAGUAGGGAAUCUUCCGCAAUGGGCGAAAGCAUGACGGAGCAACGCCGCGUGAGUGAUGAAGGUCUUCGGAUCGUAAAACUCUGUUAUUAGGGAAGAACAAAUGUGUAAGUAACUAUGCACGUCUUGACGGUACCUAAUCAGAAAGCAACGGCUAACUACGUG
rnacentral:rRNA from 1 species